rnacentral:lncRNA from 1 species
UCCUGGUAACCUUGAGAUCUGUACAUUUGAGAAGAAAUUUGAGUAUUGAUGCUUGGUUCCUGUCUCUCCUUUUCUAUCACUUUUUAUUUCUUCCACUGAUAAAGUUAAAUACAUAGAAACAAACGUUGACAGUCACACAAAUACUUAGGUUAAGUUCUUUUAAACAGAUGGUACAGUAUGAAAGAAGCUUCUUGGCAGUUUCAGUUGCAGAGAAUAGAUUAGAACUGGCUUGUGGGGGGAUUUAUAUCCAGUCUUUGAGAAUCCAUCUUCUUUAAUUGAAACUCUUCCGAAGGCUGGAAUUUUUUUAAUUAUAGCCUUUGUUCAGACCAGCCUCUGAGAAGAAAAACAAUCAAGGCAAUUAAGAUAGCAUUAAAUUUUUGAUGAAA